rnacentral:rRNA from 1 species
AACGAACGCUGGCGGCGUGCUUAACACAUGCAAGUCGAACGCGAAAGGGGACUUCGGUCCUGAGUAAAGUGGCGCACGGGUGAGUAACGCGUAGAUAACCUGUCUUCAUGGUCUGGAAUAAUACGCCGAAAGGGGUACUAAUACCGGAUAUUCUUGCUUUUCAUAAGUUAUGCAAGCAAAGGUGGCCUCUGCAUAUGCUACUGCAUGAAGAGGGGUCUGCGUACCAUUAGCUAGUAGGUGGGGUAAUGGCCUACCUAGGCGACGAUGGUUAGCGGGUCUGAGAGGAUGAUCCGCCACACUGGCACUGGAACACGGGCCAGACUCCUACGGGAGGCAGUAGUGAGGAAUAUUGCGCAAUGGGGGAAACCCUGACGCAGCGACGCCGCGUGAGUGAAGGAAGGCCUUCGGGUCGUAAAGCUCUGUCAAGAGGAAAGAAGUGUACAAUGGCUAAUACCUGUUGUAUUUGACGGUACCUCUAAAGGAAGCACCGGCUAACUCCGUGCCAGCCGCAGC